rnacentral:rRNA from 1 species
UACGUAGGGGGCUAGCGUUGUCCGGAAUCAUUGGGCGUAAAGAGCGUGUAGGCGGUCCGGUAAGUCCGCUGUGAAAGUCGGGGGCUCAACCCUCGAAUGCCGGUGGAUACUGUCGGGCUAGAGUGCGGAAGAGGCGAGUGGAAUUCCUGGUGUAGCGGUGAAAUGCGCAGAUAUCAGGAGGAACACCUAUUGCGAAGGCAGCUCGCUGGGCCGGUACUGACGCUGAGGAGCGAAAGCGUGGGGAGCAAACAGG